rnacentral:rRNA from 1 species
UAACGCGUUAAGUCGACCGCCUGGGGAGUACGGCCGCAAGGUUAAAACUCAAAUGAAUUGACGGGGGCCCGCACAAGCGGUGGAGCAUGUGGUUUAAUUCGAUGCAACGCGAAGAACCUUACCUGGUCUUGACAUCCACGGAAGUUUUCAGAGAUGAGAAUGUGCCUUCGGGAACCGUGAGACAGGUGCUGCAUGGCUGUCGUCAGCUCGUGUUGUGAAAUGUUGGGUUAAGUCCCGCAACGAGCGCAACCCUUAUCCUUUGUUGCCAGCGGUUAGGCCGGGAACUCAAAGGAGACUGCCAGUGAUAAACUGGAGGAAGGUGGGGAUGACGUCAAGUCAUCAUGGCCCUUACGACCAGGGCUACACACGUGCUACAAUGGCGCAUACAAAGAGAAGCGACCUCGCGAGAGCAAGCGGACCUCAUAAAGUGCGUCGUAGUCCGGAUUGGAGUCUGCAACUCGACUCCAUGAAGUCGGAAUCGCUAGUAAUCGUGGAUCAGAAUGCCACGGUGAAUACGUUCCCGGGCCUUGUACACACCGCCCGUCACACCAUGGGAGUGGGUUGCAAAAGAAGUAGGUAGCUUAACCUUCGGGAGGGCGCUUACCACUUUGUGAUUCAUGACUGGGGUGAAGUCGUAACAAGGUAACCGUAGGGGAACCUGCGGUUGGAUCACCUCCUUACCUGAAAGAA